GCCAUCUUAGCUCAGUUGGUAGAGCAGCUGUUUCGUAAAUAGCAGGUCGGGGGUUCGAGUCCCUUAGGUGGCU
rnacentral:tRNA from 1 species